rnacentral:tRNA from 1 species
GGGGAUUUAGCUCAGUGGCAUAAGCACCUGCCUUGCAAGCAGGCGGUCCUGAAUUCAAUCACUG